rnacentral:tRNA from 1 species
GGGAAUGUAGCUUAGUGGUAGAGUGCUUGCCUAGCAUGCAUGAGGCCCUAGGUUCGAUUCCUCAGUACCA